AGAUUAUAGAAAUAUAUGCCGUUAAUGCCCGUCUCAUCAAACUGUUGAAAUGAUUUUCUUCUAUAUCCGCUUUCAAAUCAGAUAGUUCCAGCGACGAAGAGCAAUCUCAAAGCAGCCUCUCACUCGGAGAAGGCUGUAGUUUCUGGCCGGUUGGCUGUUCAAAAAAAUCGGAGGGUGAACUGUUUGAUUCUUUAAAUCUGACUAGUUCGCAAUUGGAGGAUUUAAUAGCUGAAACAGAUUGUCUUUUUGAGAAUAAAAAUCCUGCCUCAGCCAAAGAGUCCCCAGAAACAGAAUACUCGACGCCUCCAAAGAGCGGGUUUUCUUCCGAAGUUUCCAGUCAGCAUCUAGAAUCGGCGCAAAGGCUCUCGGACAGUCUAUUAUUGAACAUCUCAUUCACGCCGCCCGAACCAGCCUCUCCUGGCUUACUGACUCAGAUACUCGGGGGAUCACCGCCGUUUGCAUCAUCACCCGGACUUCUCACCCAAAUAAUCGGUGAACCUGAAAGAUUGGAUCCCGCUGCUAAGGCUGCUGAGCUGAAGGCGGAAAUCGAACGAGUGCUGUUGAUUUUUCAAAG